rnacentral:lncRNA from 1 species
CUGCCUCCUAGGAACUCCUGGGACUUCUAGGUACAAACUCAGGUGCCCUUAUAAAGAGACCCACUGCUUGCCUUGAGUCCAGAAAGCACUGCUUCUGCAGUGAAAAACACACACUUACUAUGUCAGUUUUGGCCAUAAAAUGCCAGCCAAAUCCACUGCUGGCCUGAACUGCCCCUGGACACUGGACUUUCUGCACAGUGACUGGCAGCAGAGCAAGUGCAGCCAGGGUUUGUGGCCAAAGGGAAGAAAGCAUAGUAAAUUCAACCUCUGUUCCUCAUGGGAGUCUGACCGAUAAUCUCAGGCGGACCUUAGGAUCUUGGGCCUGGAGGCAAGAGAAAAAAGCUGGAGGAAGAGGAGUCGCAGAGAAACCCAGUCCUCUGACUGGUUUCUGGUGAGGUCUCUAUUCAUCACUGAUUUUAUCUGAUUUCCUCAAGAGUGCAUUCCAGAAGGGGACCUGCUAUUCUUCGAGGGGACCUGCUAUUCUUCGAGGCAGUGGACCCUGUUUGCUGAUGGUCAACACUCUGGCCCUGCUGCCCCAUGUCCCUGUGGAGAAGUGUGAAGGACGGGUGCCUUAAACCCACACUUCCAGGGACCCUUCAGCACAGGUCCUGCCUGUUCCCAUGGUGCUUCUCACCCUGAACCCUCAGAGCUACAGCCAGGGAUAGAGCAGAUGAGCAGUGAGCUGGUUUCCACCCUCUGGGGCAGGAGGGGCUUGGGCUUCCCUUUGACCCUCUUCCUUCCUUUCCCAGAUCUUCAAUAUUUGUUGUGAUGUAACAGCCAUAAGAGCUGUAAGAGGAACUGUGGGCUUUGGGAGCUUUCUUGGGUUGAAAGAGGGGUGGGGGGAGGGGAUGCAUGCAGGGGUAUGAAGGCAGCCCAAGGUCUCCCAGAGGCUCGGGAGGAAACCCUUUUGGAAUACAUGUGUUAUUGUUGCAUUACUGUGUUGUGAAGAUAAGAAGCUGCUCUGUAUGCUAAAGCUUUCUCUCCUCAAUAAAAAUAUAAAGGGUGU